CCUACGGGUGGCAGCAGUCGAGAAUUUUUCUCAAUGGGGGCAACCCUGAAGGAGCGACGCCGCGUGGAGGAUGAAGGUCUUCGGAUCGUAAACUCCUGUCAUUGGGGAACUAGUACCCGAAGAGGAAGAGACGGCUAACUCUGUGCCAGCAGCCGCGGUAAUACAGAGGUCUCAAGCGUUGUUCGGAUUCAUUGGGCGUAAAGGGUGCGUAGGCGGCGCCGUAAGUCGGAUGUGAAAUCUCAGGGCUCAACCCUGAAACUGCAUUCGAUACUGCGGUGCUCGAGGACUCGAGAGGAGAUUGGAAUUCACGGUGUAGCAGUGAAAUGCGUAGAUAUCGUGAGGAAGACCAGUGGCGAAGGCGGAUCUCUGGAGAGUCCUGACGCUGAGGCACGAAGACCAGGGGAGCAAACGGGAUUAGAUACCCUUGUAGUC
rnacentral:rRNA from 1 species